UACGUAGGGCGCAAGCGUUAUCCGGAAUUAUUGGGCGUAAAGAGCUCGUAGGCGGUUUGUCGCGUCUGCCGUGAAAGUCCGGGGCUCAACUCCGGAUCUGCGGUGGGUACGGGCAGACUAGAGUGAUGUAGGGGAGACUGGAAUUCCUGGUGUAGCGGUGAAAUGCGCAGAUAUCAGGAGGAACACCGAUGGCGAAGGCAGGUCUCUGGGCAUUAACUGACGCUGAGGAGCGGAAAGCAUGGGGGAGCAAACAGG
rnacentral:rRNA from 1 species